rnacentral:rRNA from 1 species
GAACGCGAAGAACCUUACCAAGGCUUGACAUAUACUGGACCGCAUCAGAGAUGGUGUUUCCCUUCGGGGCUGGUAUACAGGUGGUGCAUGGUUGUCGUCAGCUCGUGUCGUGAGAUGUUGGGUUAAGUCCCGCAACGAGCGCAACCCUCGUUCUAUGUUGCCAGCACGUUAUGGUGGGGACUCAUAGGAGACUGCCGGGGUCAACUCGGAGGAAGGUGGGGAUGACGUCAAAUCAUCAUGCCCCUUAUGUCUUGGGCUUCACGCAUGCUACAAUGGCCGGUACAGAGGGUUGCGAUACUGUGAGGUGGAGCUAAUCCCUAAAAGCCGGUCUCAGUUCGGAUUGGGGUCUGCAACUCGACCCCAUGAAGUCGGAGUCGCUAGUAAUCGCAGAUCAGCAACGCUGCGGUGAAUACGUUCCCGGGUCUUGUACACACC